CAGACAGGUGCUGCAGAUGGACUGCUGUGUGUCUGGGGACGCUGUGUGUCUUGCUGCUUGUACUGUCCAUAAGAGUAACGGUCUGGUUACUGACAGAGAGAGAUCAGCUGCUGACCAAUCAAAGCAACCUGGCCAAGGAGAGAGAUCAGCGGCUGACCAAUCACAGCAACCUGCAUGAGGAGACAGAUCAGCUGCUGACCAAUCACAGCAACUUGCUUGAAGAGAGAAAUCAGCUGCUGACCAAUUACAGAAAUCUUCUCAAAGAGAGAGAUCAGCUCCUGAGCGAUCGCAACAGCCUGCUCCGGGAGAGAGAUCGGCUUCAGGUCGAUCACAGUAAACUGCUCCUAGAGAGACAAGCUGAGAUAGAGGAUCUGAAAAACAAGUUUUGUUCGGGCAGUCACAUGUGUCCCGCUGGAUGGGUCGAUUUCAGGUGCACCUGUUACCACAACGAUCGUAAUUUAAUAAGUUGGUCUGACAGCAGGCGAUACUGCCAGUCCCUUGGGGGAGACCUGGUGCUCAUCAAGACCCUAGAGAAGCAGCGAUUUAUAAAUGAGAAGUAGUUCGCUGGCUGGGUGGGAGUGAGGAAGGGGGAGAGUGGGAGCUGGAGAUGGAUUGAUGACACACCAGUCUCGACAUGGUACUGGAAUCCUGGUCGGCGUGGUCGCUCCUCAUCUGAUUGUGUGGCAAUCCAUCAUAAGGACAACACAGACAACACCUGGCAUGAUUAUAGCUGUGGAGAAACACAUUGGUCCCUUUGUGAGAAGCCAGCCACAUACUAGCGAUACAUGCAUACAUGCAUACAUACAUGCAUACAGUACAUACAUACAUACAUACAUACAUGCAUGCAUGCAUACAGUACAUACAUACACGCAUACAGUACAUACAUGCAUGCAUGCAUACAGUACAUACAUGCAUACAUAGCAUACAGUACAUGCAUACAGUACAUACA